AACUUGUGAAGUGUUUAUGUUUUUGAUAUAUUGAAAUGGAACAACAAAAUCGUAAUUAUAAAUGGAUGUUGGUCUGAAACUAUUUUCUUGUGGCAUUUUUGUAAUUAACUAUUUUUAAUGAGAAAUAAGCCACAAUUUUAAUAAAAAAAAAUGAUUUUAUUUUUUAGUAAAAUUGUGGCUUAUUUCCCAUUAAAAACAGUUAAUUAUAAAUGGAUGUGAUGGUACUUCUAACAAUAACUCACAUUUUUAUCCUCUUCAAACAGAUAAUUUGACGAAUCCAUGAUGAUCCAAACAAUAAUAAGAAUAAAAUCGAAAUAAAACUAUCUAUCUGUUCCUGUUCAAUAUCCAACAGCAAACAUUUGUAUCAAAUAUCAAUCCAUGGAAUAAUCUGACAUAUUACACAAAUGUCAAAAAAUUUCGGAUACGACAAUCAAAUAUAAUCGUACGAAAAAAAUUCGUAUUUCGUGUCUUCGGAUAUCGGAUCUGUGAAAAUUAGCCUUAACUGUAGACCAAUCAAAGGCUGGCUUUUUAAAGGCGGGAAUACGUCAUCCGUACGACAAUUUUAAAAUUGUCAUAAGAGUCAAUGCUAAUAAAAGGUUCAAAAACUUAGGUUUUGCAAUAUAUUUUGAGAUUUUCUUGGGUAUAGGUAUAUUAAGUGGUUCUUAUAUUGGUAAUUAUAUAAAUUUUUCCCUUAAAAAUCAAUAGUCUGCUAACAAAAAACUAGAAUUCAUUUGACACUUAUUAUGUGUGUUUUAAAUGGAGAAAACAAUUUAAUUAGCACAAAAAUCCAAAAAAAUAGAAGAAAAAGUUUAAAAUCAAAAAUACUAAUAUGUAGGUACUUACUUAUUAUGUUUUUCGUGGAAUGUGCAGCACUUUUAUCAUUUUUGGUGGUAUGCAACAACAAGAGAACGAAUAAUAUAAAUAAUUUAUUAUUAGGUUAAAAUAUAAAAAAGACGUAACAUAAUAUUAACAUAUUCAAACACGAGGAAAUGUUUGCUACCUAUUUUCUUAUGUUUAGAGGCCCAUUUAUCUUGUAACAUUUUAUUAUCCAUUAUUGUUUGAUAAUGUUAAGGUAUUUGGGAAAUGUCCAAAAACAUUAUUUUGUUUCCAUCUGGUUCAGGAAUUUUGGAGUUGCUUUUACAUAUAGCUAUGCUACAAAUGUUACCACCACUUAUCUGAAAAAUGUUUUAUUAUUAUAACAUACAAAACUACAUAUUAUUAUGUGUAAUAUUAUAAUUGUUAAACUAACCUUACACGGUUACGAAAACACACUUCACAAGUCAUUACUGAAUAAGUAAUUAUAGUAAUAUUGUCCUUAUAUGCUUAAAAACAACAAAUAUUAAACAAAUAAACGAUAUUAUAAGAAAAUUCCACAAAAAUAUACGGAAAUAUAACCACAAACAACUGUCAAACUUGACUUUGUCGUACGAGUGACGUAGGCAUUCCCCUCCCUCUCGCUUCCGCCCACAUAGUUAUGAGAUAACCUAACCCCUAUCUAUGAACCUUGUUCACAGAUAGCGCAGGAUUUGUCAAAAGUCAUGUUCCACCAAUCACAAUGCCGACAUCAGCGCCUCUGACUAAACGGAAGGAAAAUAAAUACGAUUACAUGUUUUUUAUUAGAGUUAGCGGGGUAUGGUCUGUUCCUUUGUUUUUUAGUGUUACACUUUUGAGUGUAAGUGUACGAAAUUCUAUGGACAUUUGAGUGUAAAAUGACAGCGGAUGUGACAGCGGCUCAUGACAGCGGACAGUAUUAAACGAAAAUUAUCGGUGUGCCAAUCAAGCAAAGGGACCAGGGUUACCAUGUCUAGGGAUUUUCCCCGAAUCUAGGGAUUUUUUGAAGCUUUUGGAGCUCUGGAGGGAUUUUUUUUGAAAUCUAGGGAUUUAUUAAACUGUGCUGGCGCCAUUUUUUGUUGUUAUUAAAUAUCUUUUUGUUCAAAUAUUA
rnacentral:lncRNA from 1 species